CACGUAGGGGGCAAGCGUUGUCCGGAUUUAUUGGGCGUAAAGAGCUCGUAGGUGGUUCGGUAAGUCGGGUGUUAAACCCCCAGGCUCAACCUGGGGACGCCACUCGAUACUGCUGUGACUAGAGUCCGGUAGGGGAGCGUGGAAUUCCUGGUGUAGCGGUGAAAUGCGCAGAUAUCAGGAGGAACACCGGUGGCGAAGGCGGGUCUCUGGGCCGAAACUGACGCUGAGGAGCGAAAGCGUGGGGAGCGAACAGG
rnacentral:rRNA from 1 species